UAAAAAUUUAUGAUUUGAAAAUUUUAUUUUAAGUUUAAUUUAUAUGUAAAUUUUUGUAUGAAUUUUAUUGUAUUUUUAAAAUAUAAUGAUUAAUUUUACAGUAAUUAAAAUUAAAAAUUUAAGAAAUUAAGAUUUAGUAAUUUUUUAAUAAAUAACAAAUUUUGUGCCAGCAGUUGCGGUUAUACAAAAAUUUAAAUAAAUUUUAUUAAUAGUAAUAAAUAUUUAAAAUUAAAUUAAAAAGGAAAUUAUUAAGUGAAAUUUUAAUUUUUGUAAAAAUUUAUAAAAAAUAUAUGAAUUAAAAAAUUUUAUUAAUAAACUAGGAUUAGAUACCCUAUUAUAAAAAAUUAAUUUUAAAAUAUUAAAAUAGUAAAUAAUUUUAUAUUGAAACUUAAAUAAUUUGGCGGUAUUUUAGUUCAUUUAGAGGAAUCUGUCUAAUAAUUGAUAAUCCACGAAUAAUUAUAUUUAAUUUAAAAUUUUAUAUAUCGUUGUAAAAAAUAUUUUUAAAAAUAAAUAAUAUUUAAGAAUUUUGAAUAAAAAUUAAUUCAGAUCAAGAUGUAGAUAAUAAUUAAAAUUUAAGAUGGAUUACAAUAUAAAAAUAUAAAUGGAAAAUAAUUUUGAAAUAAUUAUUGGAAAGUGGAUUUGAAUGUAAUUUUAAAUAAUUUUUUAAAAUGAUUAAAAAUUAAAAUAUGUACAUAUUGCCCGUCACUUUCAUUUUAAAAUUGAAAUAAGUCGUAACAUAGUAGGAGUACUGGAAAGUGUUCCUAGAAAGA
rnacentral:ncRNA from 1 species